UACACUCCUGCGGGAGGCAGCAGUGGGGAAUUUUGGACAAUGGGCGAAAGCCUGAUCCAGCCAUGCCGCGUGCAGGAUGAAGGCCUUCGGGUUGUAAACUGCUUUUGUACGGAACGAAACGGCCUUUUCUAAUAAAGAGGGCUAAUGACGGUACCGUAAGAAUAAGCACCGGCUAACUACGUGCCAGCAGCCGCGGUAAUACGUAGGGUGCAAGCGUUAAUCGGAAUUACUGGGCGUAAAGCGUGCGCAGGCGGUUAUGUAAGACAGUUGUGAAAUCCCCGGGCUCAACCUGGGAACUGCAUCUGUGACUGCAUAGCUAGAGUACGGUAGAGGGGGAUGGAAUUCCGCGUGUAGCAGUGAAAUGCGUAGAUAUGCGGAGGAACACCGAUGGCGAAGGCAAUCCCCUGGACCUGUACUGACGCUCAUGCACGAAAGCGUGGGGAGCAAACAGGAUUAGAAACCCUGGUAGUCCCA
rnacentral:rRNA from 1 species